GUUUCUUGCGUCCUGAUUGUUCUUGCUUUCCUUCACGCGCAUCUCCUGGUACUGCGAGACCCAGAUUAUGGGACUGCAAUCAAUGAAAGUAAAAUUUGGCGGAUAGCUGCUGGGACUUACGGCAUCUUCAAGCUGGACAGAGCUCAGAUGGGAAGGAUGAUGGUUCGAGAUUAACGUAUUUAUCAGAUUGUACCCUGGAACCAUCACCAUUCGGAUUGCCCUCGAUCUUUCUUAUAAGGCUGAAGGCAGUUUCCCAAGCAACCAUAAAUUCAACGUGCAGAAGACCUCGACUCUGAAACGGGCAACCGCGCCCCUGUGAUCCACGAGAGGAAAAAAGUGUUAGCGACGUGUAAAGCUCUCCCCCAGAAGUGGUUCAUGGGUGAUAUUCUUUUUACGACAUGCGAAACAUGUUGCCUUUCUACGUGCGACCAAACUUGAACGUGAAUGGUACACCACGUGGAUUUCAUGACUAGUUUGAAUCGAAUUUUAUGGUCAUCGUUUCUUUCCUUUUACUGUUGCAUUUCAAGUGGUCCGUUGAUA